rnacentral:lncRNA from 1 species
CAACAAGGCUCAGCGACAAAACACGAAGCAACCAAACACCGUCGGAAAGAAUCCGAACCGAAACCGCGUUCUUUCGGCGAAUUUCGUCGAAAAACGCACCGAAAUCGACCUACCGAUUUUCGCGAAAACUAACGGACCAUGGACAAUCAGUCCAGCGGUCAUUACAAACUCCCACACACUGCCCACAGUAGCCACGCAAA